UGUAACACCCCAAAAUUUUGUAAGUCAUAAUAUAAAUUUUUAUAUUAUGUUGACGCAAUUAGAAAAGAAAAUGGUAAAUAUAAUUUUACCAUAUGAAAGUAAAUAAGAUACUAGUAAGUAUAUGUGGGUAAGUAAGAUAUUGUAACAAUAACCAAGUUAACUAAGUUAGAGGAUGGAUGAAAAUAGUCAUGUUAUGAGAAUAAAGGGGUUAGUUAUGUAAAAAUGAAAGAAAGUUUGAUUAAACAAGGAAAAAAAAUGCAGAAUUUUCAUAAGUCAGUAUGUAUGUGUCGUGGGUUUGAAAGGGGAUUUAGGGUUCUCACCUAAAUCCAUCAUCAACACAAGAAUUCUGCAUAAAUUGGGGUGAUUUAAGCUGGAAAUCGAGUGCAUGAGACAUCAUCUACACUUGUCUAGGUGUCCUUGAGAUAAGGAACGUGUCAAGGAGAGCUCAAGCAUAGGAGGAUAACGGGUCAAAAUAAGGCAAGGUGACAAAUACACUUAUUGGAGUAUUCAAGGUCGCACGGACUUAACAUCAUUAUGAAGUAAAUGAGGAUUGAAGAUCGGGUCAAAGAGCGAGGAUUGUACGGGAAGGGUAGUCACAUAACUGGUGAUUUUAUAUUACAUUUGAUGCGAUAAUCAAGAAUGAACGUUGUAAAUCUUUUGAAGAAAGUGUUUGUUAUUUUUAAACGAACCUUCAAGUAAGUCAUAUGAGUAAUUAUGAAAGAAAUUUUAAGUCUCUACUUUCCGCUGUGUCUAUAUGGUUAAAUCGUGAUAUGGGUGUUUCAAGUUGGUAUCAGAGCCUAGGUUUGAGCGAAAUCAAGUACAAGGAAGUAAGUACUUGAACUCAAACCCGUGUGCUUAUGUGACUAGUAACCCGUACAAUUCGAGACUCGAUUAAGACUGGAAGGUAAACUUUAAUACAAGUAAGUAUGUGAGAUGUUACUAACCAUGAUGAAUGUUGUAAGGUAAGCGUGCAUGGACAAUGAGGAUGUUACACAGUCGCGGACUAGCAUGGAGAUAAGGCAAGUGAUAAGGCAAGCAAUGGACCUCAGGAACGUGUCAAGGAGAGCUCAAGCAUAGGAGGAUAACGGGUCAAAAUAAGGCAAGGUGACAAAUACACUUAUUGGAGUAUUCAAGGUAAGUGAUUUCCGGAAUCACUUCUUAUCUUAUAAAUAAAGUUUUGAUAUGUUAAACGUAGGAAAUCAUGUGAGAAAUUAUGAGAAGGAGUAAGUACUAAGGUAUGUAUUAAUGAGGUAAGUCGUAAGAAGUUAUUUGUGCUUGGAAUUACAUGAUAGAAGUGAACGGGUCAAUAAUAAAGAAAGAAACAUGGCGUAAUGUGGUAGUUAGUUUGAUCAUGUGGUUAUACGUUAGAAAGAUUUAGGAGUUUGUAUACGAUUAUUUUACAUAUUGGAAGCGUUUAUGAAGUGCGAGUAAUAAUGGAAUGUGUUAGCGAGUAUGUGGAGGAAUGAAUUAAGUAUGUGGGUAUAUAUGUAUAGAAUUAAUUUCAUACCAAUAGCCGGGACUUAUAAUAAUCAUGAAUAGAAGUGAGUAUGCACGUAGGUUUGUAUGUACGUGACCUAUUUAUAUGGAAGUUGUAAUUAGGAUACAUUAGCAAAUCAUUUGGAAUGAUGUAAGUGGUAUGUAAGAGCUUGUACGUUUGUAUGUGUGUUCGUAAUCAUGUGUGGAAGUAUGUGUCCAUGAAUAUUUGUAUGUAUGUACAUGUGCACGAAGUAGAAUUUAUUGUACACGAAUGAAUGGGACUUUUUUUUAUAUGUUUAUAUAGCUUCAAUACUUUUGAGUGUAAAGUUUCUAAACUGGUGUCUUGAGUAUGAAAUGAGAAUGCAGGUAUACUAUUAGUGUCCUUGUGAAGGUUUAAGGAAUUGGAAUGCAAGAUCGUACACGGAAUGAGGAUUCGAAAAGAUUAGCAUGAGAUGAAGGAAUACGGAGUCAUUAUUUAUUUACGUAUGUUUAGUUUAUGAACAACGUCACCAAAUUUUAACGAUGCGUAUGUAUGUGGUGAUUACAGGUCGCACGGACUUAACAUCAUUAUGAAGUAAAUGAGGAUUGAAGAUCGGGUUAAAGAGCGAGGAUUGUACGGGAAGGGUAGUCACAUAACUGGUGAUUUUAUAUUACAUUUGAUGCGAUAAUCAAGAAUGAACGUUGUAAAUCUUUUGAAGAAAGUGUUUGUUAUUUUUAAACGAACCUUCAAGUAAGUCAUAUGAGUAAUUAUGAAAGAAAUUUUAAGUCUCUA